AGAUUGAACGCUAGCGGGAUGCUUUACACAUGCAAGUCGAACGGCAGCGCGGACUUCGGUCUGGCGGCGAGUGGCGAACGGGUGAGUAAUAUAUCGGAACGUGCCCAGUAGCGGGGGAUAACUACGCGAAAGCGUGGCUAAUACCGCAUACGCCCUACGGGGGAAAGGGGGGGAUUCUCGGAACCUCUCACUAUUGAGCGGCCGAUAUCAGAUUAGCUAGUUGGUGAGGUAAAGGCGUCACCAAGGCGGACGAUCUGUAGCUGGUUUGAGAGGACGACCAGCCACACUGGGACUGAGACACGGCCCAGACUCCUACGGGAGGCAGCAGUGGGGAAUUUGGACAAUGGGGGAAACCCUGAUCCAGCCAUCCCGCGUGUGCGAUGAAGGCCUUCGGGUUGGUAAGUACACUUU
rnacentral:rRNA from 1 species